GGGGGUGACAUGGCUUCGACGCGGGUCACGAAACUCUAGGUGCAUGUCGAGGGGUAGAGCCUCGUAAAAAUCUGCAAAAAAUUUAGUUGCCAACGACGACAACUACGCACUCGCUGCUUAAUAACCAGUAGGGUGCCGUCUGACUGAAGCCGUGCUUGUGCGUUCAGGUUCCAGGCGUCGACUCUCACAAGAUCGUCAUGAAGCGUGUCCGGCGUGGAUUGGCUAAAACUUAUCCGGAAUCGCUCGUGGUUUUCCCUGCCUGUUGGGUAGCCGCGCGUUAAAAUAAAAAACAGGAAAAACAUGUAGUACCGAAAGCGUAGGACUGGCGGACGGGGGUUCAAUUCCCCCCACCUCCACCA
rfam:Halothiobacillus neapolitanus c2, complete genome.